rnacentral:sRNA from 1 species
UAAACUGAAAAUACUAAAAACGCACGUUC